rnacentral:rRNA from 1 species
UACGUAGGCAGCAAGCGUUGUUCGGAGUUACUGGGCGUAAAGGGUGCGUAGGCGGCCUUAUAAGUAUGGUGUGAAAUCUCCCGGCUUAACUGGGAGGGUGCGCUAUAGACUGUGGGGCUAGAGUGUGGGAGAGGAAAGUGGAAUUCCUGGUGUAGCGGUGAAAUGCGUAGAUAUCAGGAGGAACACCGGUGGUGUAAACGGCUUUCUGGACCAUAACUGACGCUGAGGCGCGAAAGCGUGGGUAGCAAACAGG